rnacentral:rRNA from 1 species
CGGUGAAUACGUUCCCGGGUCUUGUACACACCGCCCGUCAAACCAUGAAAGUGACCAACACCCGAAGUCCGAUUCGUCGGCCUAAGGCGAGCGCAGGUGACUGGGGCG